CCUACGGGGGGCUGCAGUGGGGGAUAUUGCACAAUGGGGGGAACCCUGAUGCAGCGACGCCGCGUGUGGGAAGACGGUCCUCUGGAUUGUAAACCACUGUCCCCAGGGACGAAAAUGACGGUACCUGGGGAGGAAGCUCCGGCUAACUACGUGCCAGCAGCCGCGGUAAUACGUAGGGGGCAAGCGUUAUCCGGAUUUACUGGGUGUAAAGGGAGCGUAGACGGUUAUGCAAGUCUGAAGUGAAAGCCCAAGGCUCAACCAUGGGACUGCUUUGGAAACUGUAAAACUGGAGUGCAGGAGAGGUAAGCGGAAUUCCUAGUGUAGCGGUGAAAUGCGUAGAUAUUAGGAGGAACACCAGUGGCGAAGGCGGCUUACUGGACUGUAACUGACGUUGAGGCUCGAAGGCGUGGGGAGCAAACAGGAUUAGAUACCCCGGUAGUC
rnacentral:rRNA from 1 species